GACAACAUCCUCCCUUCGAAUUGCUAUUUAAUUUUAAUAAAUAACAGCUAACAAUUAUUGAGUGCUUCCAGGUACAAAGAUGAUUUACGUUACCUCACAUUUUACAACAAAAGUAUGAGGUCCACUCUGUUAGUCCCACUCUUCUUAAGGCAAAAUGGAGGCUUAGGGAGGUUACAGAAUUCAUAUGAAGCCACCCAGCUGGUUGCCAGGCCCAGGGCUCUUUACUUUUAUUCUGUGCAGGCUUCCUCUUUUUCCGAAAAGGCAGUGGGACAAUCUCCCAUUUUGUCUUUCCUGCUGCAGAAGACAGCAACACGGUCCAAUAUGUAGGAAGGGUUUGUUGAUUACCACCUGGGAGACUGAGGUAACAAAACACAACAUGUGGGUUAGCAGCGUUGCCGAAGCUUAUAAAGGAUCUGAGAAUCUGCUGGAGCCCCCUGCUUCCAUUUAGAAACCGCUUUCCUCCAGGCCCUCAGGCCCCAGGACGCCCUUACCCCUGGCCGGUUGAAGGGUCAGCUAGGAAAAUACAGCGAGGAAGGGAUAAUACCACCCUCCGGCCGGAAGGGAGAGAGUAAUUUGCAUCUCAGAGGAGCUCAGGUCUCCAUGCCCAGUUUGGACCCUGGCAGUAAUGGUCUGAUCCGGGAAUUUCCUGUGACUUGUGGAGGUUUGCGGCUCGAAGCCAUAAGGACUUUCUAACAUUCAUGUCCACUUAAUUCAGGAAUCUACAAAGGCAGGCAUUUGUCGAGCUCCUCUCAAUUUUCCUGACCUGCUUCCAACCUUUGACAUGGAGGGUCCAACAUCUCAAGAUCCCUCUGGUGCUUGUGGGUAAACAGGUGACGGUACUAAGAGGCCCAUAGAAUGAGGUAGAAGGGAAACAUUGGUAAAUCUAGUUGUUGGGUUUUCCUCUUUUUUUUUCAUUUUAAUUUCAAUGUGUGUAUUCUCAACUUUUCAAUUAGACUUAGAAAAACUUUGUUGAAGUAUCACUGACAUUCAACAACUUUCUCAAUUUUGGAUGAAGCGAGAAACCCAGGAAAAGUUUCGGGGCAUUUAAGGACACAAGUGAUGGGUAGAUUUGGUGUUUGGAAUAAAGCCUGGAGCCACACACAAAUACAUUCAGGUGGAUGAAUAAAGAUCCCAGGGUGGAGAAACUAGCAAUAUGAAUGCCUUGGAGGUCCGUUUCACGCAGCCCAGUGUAAUAACAAACACGAGUUCUUGACCCUGUGUUGUCACUGACCAGCUGCAGGGCUCAGCCAAGCUCCUGGGGUCCAGUAUUUAAAAUAUUUGAAUUAUAUCUUCAUCUUGUGCCGACAGAAAAAAAUUUUCCAAAGACUGGAAAAGUGACUCAAUUCAAAUGUAUGAAACCAUUUGUAACUGAAAAGGGGUGUCAUUGAGACAUCUGCGGCAAGGCAUGACAAAGUAUACUGACCUUCUGGGAAGAAAGACUACAUUAAAUAGUAGGGAUUAACAUUUUUUUAAAAACUUAUACAACAUAACAAGGUAAGGAACAAAAUCAAAGCAAAACAUUAAGUAGAUUUUAUAACCAAAAGAGGGGUUGCACUGGCCUAAUAAAUCAGAACAGUAAAGAGAUAAAAGGAGAUAAGAAUCAUGUUCAAAAGGAACUUUAAAAGCACAGCUGAAAUUGGGCCCCUUUUAUUAAGAAGAAAUACAGAACUUAGUUCUUAAAC